rnacentral:lncRNA from 1 species
UUUAUAAAUAUUGUUUGGAUAUGACGCCAGACUCCAUGUUCAUUUCCUAGGUGAAGAACCCCAAACACUAGGAGACUAAAGAAGAAGAAGUUAUGAUCCAAAUCAAGUCUGAAAUUUCUUUCAACUGAUUGCUUUCCCUGCUAGUAACUCAAUAGGCAAUACUACUUCUUUCAAAAAUCAGUGAACGGAAGUGCUAUGAAGAAACAAAUUGGGAGAAAUCUUCAUUCUUUUCCCAGUUGUCCAAGCUUUCAUCAUUUUCAGCUUGCUGCCCUUCUGCAGUCCCAGUGGAAAAUCCACCAUGUUUACGAGGCCUCAAACUCUGACUUUCUGUCUCAUCCGCCUGGGAGACUGCUGGAGGUUCUGAUCGACGCCUGCCACCUGUGAAUUGCUGCAAUCGUUGGGAGAAUUUCCUGCCUGGGAGUCUGGAAACUGCCAAGAGUGAAAAGCCGCAGCCAGCCAGCGAGGCCUCUGUUGUCAUUGGCCCAAACAACAACAAAAACAGCCACAACCACCACCACCACCACAACAAAACACGCCACGUGUGCACAAGCACACACAAACACGCCCACAGAACCAACCAAACGGACAAGGCUUCAAGGAGAAGCUUCUGGGCUGCGCGUUCCGGCAGCGAGGCCUGUCCCUUGGCACGGGGCCAUGGCAGCCCAGUUCCCAGCCCCCCACCAUCUGUCAUCAGCACUCUGCCUACUGUCAAGAGACACAGAGAAUUAAUCAUGAACCCAGUUGCCUAGAGGAGAAAAUAAUCUAUUUGUGGCAGUCUGAAAAAGCAAGAAGUUAUACGAAACCACUGAAGCCACCAGAGGCAAGAAUGGCAUCUCCAGACUCCUGGGGGAAAGUUCAUUGAGUUGCUAGUUGAAGAAUCUGGGGACACCUGAAUAGUCUCCUCCACAUCUCUAUUUUACCAGCCUUGGGUCGUUUAAUCUCCUCCGCCUACCUCUACUGCUAUGUGUAAUAUUUUUCCUCAGCAACUGCAACCCUACUUGAUCAUUUUAAGAAAGGGAAUUCUUAAGUCCCUUUGUAGCUCAGAAAAGCGUGUUCUCUCAUAUACAUCUUUCCUUUUACUGCUAGGCUAUUAGUUCUGACUUCAACUGCUUCUUCUGAAUAGAUUCCCAACUGUUGUGUCCUGAAGGACUGUGUUGCCUUUCUCACUUACUCCUUCAUUAGAACUUUUCCUCUGUCUGCUCCUCUUCACACCUCUCUCAGCCUCUGAGAUAGUCAGCAGUUCAGAAUAUGGUUAGAUUAUAUUUGCCCAGACACUGAUACCUCAUGCUUGUCUUUGUGGAUAUUAGAAAGAUAAGGCAUUAGGAGUCAGAGACUUGGGUGUCAAUCCUGAUGUAAUCAUAAAUAAAGUGACUGAGUUUCAAGCA